rnacentral:rRNA from 1 species
UACGGGGGGGGUAAGCGUUGUUCGGAAUUACUGGGCGUAAAGGGCUCGUAGGCGGCCAACUAAGUCAUACGUGAAAUCCCUCAGCUUAACUGGGGAACUGCGUGUGAUACUGGAUGGCUUGAAUCCGGGAGAGGGAUGCGGAAUUCCAGGUGUAGCGGUGAAAUGCGUAGAUAUCUGGAGGAACACCGGUGGCGAAGGCGGCAUCCUGGACCGGCAUUGACGCUGAGGAGCGAAAGCGUGGGGAGCGAACGAG